AUGAGGAUGAAGUGAAUGUUUUGAAGGGGGAACUUUAUGCUCAAAAAGGAUUUGAGAAGGAGGAGAAAGAAAUAUUGAAUAAUAAGGAUGAAGUUGUGGAGAAGAAUGGAUAUGAGGAAGAUGUCGAUGAGGAUGUAGACAAAGAGGAAGAGUCAUUAAAAGAGAUUGAGAUACAAAAUGAAGGAGUAAGGGAAAAGGAGAAAGAGGAACUACUGAUAGGAAAAAACAAGGAUGCAACAGAUGAGAUACAAAUUGAAGGAAUAAGGGAAAAG
rnacentral:misc_RNA from 1 species